UUAGGAAGGGUUUGAUCCUGGCUCAGAUUGAACGCUGGCGGCGUGCCUAACACAUGCAAGUCGAGCGGUAACAGGUGUAGCAAUACAUGCUGACGAGCGGCGGACGGGUGAGUAACGCUUGGGAAUCUGCCUAUUAGUGGGGGACAACCCGGGGAAACUCGGGCUAAUACCGCAUACGCACCAUGGUGGAAAGCCGGGGACCGCAAGGCCUGGCGCUAAUAGAUGAGCCCAAGUCGGAUUAGCUAGUUGGUAGGGUAAUGGCCUACCAAGGCUACGAUCCGUAACUGGUCUGAGAGGACGACCAGUCACACCGGAACUGAGACACGGUCCGGACUCCUACGGGAGGCAGCAGUGGGGAAUAUUGGACAAUGGGGGAAACCCUGAUCCAGCGACGCCGCGUGGGUGAAGAAGGCCUGCGGGUUGUAAAGCCCUUUCAGUGGGGAAGAAAAGCCUCGAGUUAACACCUCGGGGUCUUGACGUAACCCAUAGAAGAAGCACCGGCUAACUCUGUGCCAGCAGCCGCGGUAAUACAGAGGGUGCGAGCGUUAAUCGGAAUUACUGGGCGUAAAGCGCGCGUAGGCGGCUUUGCAAGUCGGGUGUGAAAUCCCCAGGCUUAACCUGGGAACUGCAUUCGAGACUGCAUUGCUAGAGUAUGGGAGAGGGAAGUGGAAUUUCCGGUGUAGCGGUGAAAUGCGUAGAUAUCGGAAGGAACAUCAGUGGCGAAAGCGACUUCCUGGACCAAUACUGACGCUCAUGUGCGAAAGCGUGGGGAGCAAACAGGAUUAGAUACCCUGGUAGUCCACGCCAUAAACGAUGACAACUGGAUGUCGGGAGGGUCUGCCUCUCGGUGUCGUAGCUAACGCGUUAAG
rnacentral:rRNA from 1 species